rnacentral:rRNA from 1 species
ACGUAGGGGGCAAGCGUUGUCCGGAAUCAUUGGGCGUAAAGCGCGUGUAGGCGGUCCGGUAAGUCGGCUGUGAAAGUCCAGGGCUCAACCCUGGGAUGCCGGUCGAUACUGCCGGACUAGAGUUCGGAAGAGGCGAGUGGAAUUCCCGGUGUAGCGGUGAAAUGCGCAGAUAUCGGGAGGAACACCAAUGGCGAAGGCAGCUCGCUGGGACGUUACUGACGCUGAGACGCGAAAGCGUGGGGAGCAAACAGGA